UGUGACCCGUGCUCUGAAGACAUGACUAGGAAAUCAGCGUGCAGAAAUGCUGCUGGUGGGGACCUGCCUCAGUCAGAGGAGGCUUCCAUGGAGGUAAUGUCUGAGCGCCUAACUCAAGAGGAGUUGACCAGGGAAAGAAGAGGGGAGAGCAUUGCAGAAGCGAAGAGAGCACACAGAUCUGAGGUGAAACAACAGGUGAAACAUACCAUGGAUGGAAGGAAGAGACUGUCCCUUGCCUCCCCCAAACCACCCUACAACCAAGUGAUUAAUAGGAGUAUGUAAUGCUGCCACACAGUGAAGAGCCUCCUGUCACCAUAAGGAACGGAGCCAAGGACUACGGGUUGAAACCUCAGGAACUGAUACAGGCAGAAGGUGGGCUAAGUGCAAACUGAACAGAGAGAGUUAGAAAAAAGGUACCCAAACCAAGCCGAACAGCGGACAAGGUUUGUAUUAUGGUCGCCAUGGCAGUGAUGCGGGACAGGGAAGCCACGUCACAUUAAUGUGUCCGACCACCAGGAUGUCUGUCCAAGUUCAGCAAGCCUCUCAGCUCCCCUCUGAAGCAAAUAUAGCUGGUCUUCAAUACCCAUGGGUCCCACAUUUCUACUUGUGGAUUCA